rnacentral:pre_miRNA from 14 species
UAAUAUCAAUUUGGUAUUUUUCGGCUUUCAGUCACAGAAAAGCGUUGAUUAUUUUAGAUCAUUGCUUUUCUGUGACUGAAAGCCGAGAAAUACCAAGUUUUACGUAAA